UCCCCCAAACGCAGAACGGGGAUUUAGGGCUGGAAAUAAGCAGAGCAAUGUAGCGAUAGGACAAUGUUCCGUUUGAAAUUAAGUGGACCGAUUUAAGUACACAAUUCGAUAGGCCGUCAUUCACACGGGGCCAGUCGGCUGGCACAACAGCUUAGUUUUUUUUAAUUUAACUGCGCAAUAACUGUAUUCUACUGAUGCUUUUCAUUAAUAUUGACCAAGUUAUAGUUCGCUAGCUAGCAAGCGGCAUAGCUAGAUAUUAUGGUGUGCCCCUGAUUGAUUGCAGGUGAACUCGCGAGAGGAGUAUCAGUUGAUUUAUAAAGAUGUCGAUGGAACUGGACGUGUUCGUGGGGAAUACGACUCUACUGGACGACGAGGUCUACGAACUAUGGCUGGACGGCUACCCAGUGAGUGAUGCAGUGCAGGCGAGGGCAGAGGCCGGGGUGCUGCGGCAGUGGGACCCCAGUCCGGAGGUGUUGCUUAGCGACACCACGGACCAGUACAGGACCUUUCAGAUGUGCGAGCGGCUCCUCCACUGCCCCACGAAGCUGGCCAAUCAGCUGCUGUUCCAGAUCCCCGCCCACCGCCAGGCCGCGCUCAUCGAGAGGUAUUAUGCAUUUGAUAGCGCAUUGGCACGGGACUUACUGGGGAAGAAACUGUCCAAAGGAACCAAGAAGGACCUGGAUGACAUCAGCGCCAGGACGGGGGUGACUCUGAAGAGCUGCAGGAGGCAGUUUGAGAACUUCAGGCGGGUGUUUAAAGUGGUGGAGGAGCUGAAGGGCCCCCUGGUGGAGAACAUACAGCAUCAUUUUCUACUGCCAGACCGGCUGGCCAGGGACUACGCAGCGGUGGUGUUUUUUGCGAGUAAUCGCUUUGAGACAGGGAAGAGGAAGCUGCAGUACCUCUCCUUCCAGGACCUGGCCUUCUGCGCCCAGCAGCUGAUCAGCGACUGGACCGUGGGGGCCGGGGGCAGUAUGUCGGAGGACAUGGAUGUGGACCUGGAGAAGGAAUUUCUCCAUGAUCUGAAAGACCUGAAGAUUUUAAUCUCUGACAAAGACCUGCUGGGCCAACACAAGAGCCUGGUGUGCGCUGCUCUCAGGGGAAAGAUCAAAGUAUUUAAUGAAAUGGAGGCAAACUUCAAGAGCCUGUCUCGGGCUCUGGUCAGCAUCGCUGCCAAGCUGACGCACACGCGGGACGUCAGAGGUCUGUUCAUCCACCUCGUGGAGAAGGCAGGUUUCCCUGAUCAUGCCCAGAGCGGAGUGUCCGCAAUUCCAGCCGGAGCGGAGCGCUGCAAGCUUCCUUUCGCUGCUCGUGUUAGCGGAUUACUGCCUCUAUGCUAGCCGCGGUCCCGCGCAGAGACAUAGCGGGUUACUGCCUCUAUGCUAGCCGCGGCCCCAUAGCGGAUUACUGCCUCUAUGCUAGCCGCGGCCCCAUAGCGGAUUACUGCCUCUAUGCUAGCCGCGGUCCCGCGCAGAGACAUAGCGGAUUACUGCCUCUAUGCUAGCCGCGGUCCCGCGCAGAGACGUAGCGGAUUACUGCCUCUAUGCUAGCCGCGGUCCCCCGCGGCCCCAUAGCGGAUUACUGCCUCUACGCUAGCCGCAGUCCCGUAGCGGAGACGUAGCCUAGUUACAGCGUCAACCGAAUUCCUCUGCACCUGGUGCAUUCACUGCUCAUAGUCAGAUUUGCAUCAUAACACCAUAGAACCAUAGUCCUGGACUGUAUGGUUUCCUAGACUGUAAGAACGGUUUCAGAAAGAACAUGUUACUUCACCUUAGAAAAAACAUUGAACUACAGGAAGUAAACUACUCUUAAGAAAAA